rnacentral:rRNA from 1 species
UGCGUAGGCGGACUAAUAAGUCAGUGGUGAAAUCUCUCGGCUCAACCGGGAAACUGCCAUUGAUACUGUUAGUCUUGAGUUCGGUUGAGGUAGGCGGAAUGUGUAAUGUAGCGGUGAAAUGCUUAGAUAUUACACAGAACACCAAUUGCGUAGGCAGCUUACUAGACCGACACUGACGCUGAGGCACGAAAGCGUGGGUAGCGAACAGGAUUAGACACCCUGGUAGUCC